UACGGGGGGGGCAAGCGUUGUUCGGAAUUACUGGGCGUAAAGGGCGCGUAGGCGGCCUGCUAAGUCACACGUGAAAUCCCUCGGCUCAACCGGGGAACUGCGUGUGAUACUGGCGGGCUUGAAUUCGGGAGAGGGAUGUGGAAUUCCAGGUGUAGCGGUGAAAUGCGCAGAUAUCAGGAGGAACACCUAUUGCGAAGGCAGCUCGCUGGGACGUUACUGACGCUGAGACGCGAAAGCGUGGGGAGCAAACAGG
rnacentral:rRNA from 1 species